CAGCAAAGGAGUCUGAGACAGCAUCUGGAGGGCAUGGGAUGCAAAGGACGAUGAGAUUCUUCACUACCAAUGGUCAAGAGGAACUGAGUGGGGCAACCAGUGUGCAGUGCGUCUUUGAACCCGCUCUUUCCUCCCAGAAAACAUGGUUACACAAGGGAGGUCACUGGAGGGAAGGAGUUUGCGCAUUGCUGGUCCUGGGGCAGAACAGAGAUAAAGCCCUAGAAAAUGUCCAAGCUUUUGGCUGCAAGAAUUUGGGAUACAAACCAUGAAAAUGUGCAGUAGCACUGGGAAAAUAUCCCCUCCAGCCUUCUAUUUCCUUUCAUAUCAGCAUGAAUAUAACUAACGAGGAGCAGAAUGUGAAUAAUUUGAAAGACAGAACUAUUGUAUUUAAUGAAUAAAACACAAAUACUCUUCUCCA
rnacentral:lncRNA from 1 species